AGCGGACAAAGAUGAAGUUUGGAGUGUUAAUCACUUGCUCAGAGACACGGUAGAGUCAGAAAAUAAACCAGCCUUCAGUGUGAAAGAGCAGAGAGGGAAGGAAACUGACACAUACAAAAUCCAGUAGGUACCGAGCGCAGUGGGCUGCGGUGGAACAUUCUGGCACCUAGGGAGAGAAAGAAGACUGAGAAGAGACAUUCCACGUAAACAUCUACCACAGCCGAAGCCACGGCCAGGACUGCCCUUGACUCCUGCAGGAGGACCCUAUUUGCUCUCUUCUGCCUCCAUUCCAGUCUUCCGGGGAACUCCCCGCCAUGAUUUAUAAGGCUCUGGAUGUUUGCUUCUCAAAAGAUGUGUGGUGAAGAGCCAGUCUUCACCGCCGCUCAACCCCCUACUCCAUUGUGGACCAACUGUUCUUAGAAAUACAACAAAAAUGAGCGACUGUUAAAAUAAUCACAUACUUUGAUGCUGCAGAAAUGUCAAAAUGCUUUAAGUUUUCAACUCCUUCCCCUCCUACUCAGGCGGCUAUGGUUUGAGGACUGAUGGCCCACGGACCACACUGGAAUAGCUCUGCUCUGAAAUGAUCUGGCCUCUGCCGGCCUCCUGACCACCCACUCUCUCCUUCGUUUAUUCUGAUCUAUUUUCACAGUGUUCAAGCCAAGUCUGACAACAUCAAACUCGUUUCCUUAGAAGUUUUGCACAUGCUGUUUCCUUUGCUUAGAACAUUCUGGCCCUGCAUUUUCCCACAGGUUGACUCCUCGUCACUCAGGGUUCACAUGUCACCUCAGAGAAGUCUUCCUGCACCAACUAUUCAGUACUUUAUUAUAUUUCAAACAAUAUGAUGCCCUAAA